rnacentral:tRNA from 1 species
GAGUGUGUAGCUCAGUGGUAGAGCACAUGCUUAGCAUGUGUGAGGCCCUGGGUUCAAUCCCCAGCAACCUCC